rnacentral:rRNA from 1 species
GACGAACGCUGGCGGCGUGCCUAAUACAUGCAAGUGGGACGCAAGGAAACACACUGUGCUUGCACACCGUGUUUUCUUGAGUCGCGAACGGGUGAGUAACGCGUAGGUAACCUGCCUAUUAGCGGGGGAUAACUAUUGGAAACGAUAGCUAAUACCGCAUAAUAUUAAUUAUUGCAUGAUAAUUGAUUGAAAGAUGCAAGCGCAUCACUAGUAGAUGGACCUGCGUUGUAUUAGCUAGUUGGUAAGGUAAGAGCUUACCAAGGCGACGAUACAUAGCCGACCUGAGAGGGUGAUAGGCCACACUGGGACUGAGACACGGCCCAGACUCCUACGGGAGGCAGCAGUAGGGAAUCGUCGGCAAUGGACGAAAGUCUGAACGAGAAACGCCGCGUGAGUGAAGAAGGUUUUCGGAUCGUAAAGCUCUGUUGUAAGUCAAGAACGUGUGUGAGAGGGGAAAGUUCACACAGUGACGGUAGCUUACCAGAAAGGGACGGCUAACUACGUG